AACGGACAGGGGGGUGGCCACAAGACUGACAUGGGGAUGCUCCAAUAAUAAGUGACCCGGAGCGGACCACUGCGCAGGGGAAAUGGGGGUACACAGAACCAGAUGAAGUCAAAGCACAUUACUUUCCAGCUUCAGCAAACUACCACAGUAGAACUCAGAUCUCGACUGACAAUUUGACCUUGGUGCCUGCUGUUUUUCUGAACACAACAAUUUCCAAAAUAUCCUGUCCUAUAAGCUUUCCAACCAACUUCACUAUGUAGGUGGCCCUAUCAGAGCUGUGGGAUGGGAGUACAGCUCUCCUAAAGCUCUGUGAUAUGCUGGUUUUUGUUGCCCCACAAACAUCAAGAGAUGUAAAGCAGUCAGCUGAUAUGCAGAGAAAGAAUAUUUGGAAAAAUUGCUAAAGUUAAUAUUUACUGAAAUGGGGAUCUAAUAAAAAUAAUAAAAAACUCA